rnacentral:rRNA from 1 species
UACGUAGGCAGCAAGCGUUGUUCGGAGUUACUGGGCGUAAAGAGUGCGUAGGCGGUCCUGUAAGUUUGGUGUGAAAUCUCCCGGCUCAACUGGGAGGGUGCGCCGAAGACUGCAGGGCUUGAGUAUGGGAGAGGUAAGCGGAAUUCCUGGUGUAGCGGUGAAAUGCGUAGAUAUCAGGAGGAACACCUGUGGUGUAGACAGCUUACUGGACCAUAACUGACGC